rnacentral:rRNA from 1 species
UACGUAGGGUGCGAGCGUUGUCCGGAAUUAUUGGGCGUAAAGAGCUCGUAGGCGGUGUGUCACGUCGGCCGUGAAAACUCACAGCUCAACUGUGGGCGUGCGGGCGAUACGGGCAGACUGGAGUACUGCAGGGGAGACUGGAAUUCCUGGUGUAGCGGUGGAAUGCGCAGAUAUCAGGAGGAACACCGGUGGCGAAGGCGGGUCUCUGGGCAGUAACUGACGCUGAGGAGCGAAAGCGUGGGGAGCGAACAGG